UGAUUUAUAAGUGUUUUGAAAAAUGGGGACAUGGGUUAUGUCCUCAUAAGUCACCCUCUCCUUGUAAUACCUGUGUCAUACCCAUGUCAUUAUACAGAGUUGUGUCCUGAUAUGAUACACACACACACACACACACACACACACACUGUUGACUCUGGGCAAUAAAGAAAGAACAAUAAAGAACUAAGGGAGAAGGGAGUUUUCUGUCCAGGAAAAGCAAAGCUGGGAGGAGCAGAAGAGGAGAAAUGAUCGUGAUAUCAGUCUGUCCUGAUAAAAGAAGAAACACAAUCACUCCUGAAUCACAGCAUCUACAGAAAUGGAGAGAAUCACAUGUAUGUCUCUUCUGCUCACAGCUGUGGUCAGUUCUUCUGCACGAGCUCCGCGUCAGUAUCACUUUGUGAAUCAGAACCUGAACUGGACUGAAGCUCAGAGUUACUGCAGAGAGAAAUACACAGAUCUGGUCACUAUCAGUGACAUACAAGAACAGAAUGACACUGAACAGACCAUAAAGAGAGUGAACAGCAAUGCUGACCGUGUCUGGAUUGGACUGAAGAACACAAGAGUUGGUUUCUGGAGUGACCCUGCCUUCUACACAGAACAGUACAGGAACUGGGGACCAUCACAACCAGGAGGAGAUGGAGACUGUGUUUUCUUGGGUUGUGGGAAUGAUCAGAGUUGUGGGAAUGAGCCUAAAGUACAGUGGCAUGAUGUAGACUGUAAUACAACAAGGCAUUUCAUCUGCUAUGAUGCCAGUAAAGGAUUCAUCAUUGUACAGGAGCAAAAGAACUGGACUGAAGCUCAGAAAUACUGCAGAGAGAACCACACAGAUCUGGCCAGCGUGAGGAAUCAGACUGAGAAUGAAGAGAUUCAGAAGAUCAUAGACCAAAACAGAACUUCAAGUGAUCAAGAUAAACAAGUCUGGAUCGGUCUGCACAGACUCUGGGUUUGGUCAGAUAACAGCAGCUCCACAUUCACACACUGGAAACACAGUUCUGAUAACACACGUAAGAACUGCACAUUGAUUGUUAUCAGUGAUGAAGGACGAUGGACAGACGAGGAGUGUUCAGAAGAGCAUCCCUUUGUGUGUUAUGAUGAGAAGCUGGUUCUGGUCCGAGAGAAUAAGACGUGGACUGAAGCUCUGAGACGCUGCAGAAACAUGGACAUGGACCUGGUGUUGGUGGAUUCGGAGCAGAUGCAGCAGCGGGUGAUGAAUGUGACCUCGAGUGCCUCCUCUGAUCACGUGUGGCUGGGUCUGCGUCACUCCUGCACAAUGGGGAUCUGGUUCUGGGUCAACGGUCAGACCAUGUGCUACGAUCAGUGGGCUUCUGAUUUUGACAGCGGACUGGACGAAUGUGAUAAGACGGUGAGAUCCGGAGCCAUUCGGACCCAUGAUAAUCACUGGAUCAGCCUUCCUGAAACUGAAGAAAUCAACUUCAUCUGCACCAAGUACAUGUGAUCCAGAUUACACAAUCAGAUUACUAAUAUUCAUGCAUAUAAAAUACGGUAUAAAUAUAAAAUGCCAAAAAUACAAUUCCUGGUUACUUUUAAUCGAUGACAAAUUAACAAAAUGAAACUAAAUUGUUCAAGUAAUCAGAAAGUACUCAGAAUACAUUACUUAAAAUUUUUAUUUGUGUCUAGUUUUCGUAAAGCAAUUUGUAACCAGUAACAGAUAUAAUAUAAUAUAAUAUAAUAUAAUAUAAUAUAAUAUAAUAUAAUAUAAUAUAAUAUAAUAUAAUAUAAUAUAAUAUAAUAUACCCUCUGUGUGUCAGUCAAAUAACAGAUUAUGAAGAUUCAUUCAAGCCAUUUGGGCUCAAUUCAAGUAGAAUCAGUUCAGUUCCAGUUAAUCAGUAAAGCAAUUUUUCAUAAUAUCUGUUCACAGAACAUGUAUAUUUCAUCGUUAGAUUUGGGAAGUUUUCUGUUCACAGACUCAAAUGAUCUCCAUUUAAAGUCUUUUCAUGUCUAUUUGAACUUCUGUCAUGUUUUCAUUUGUUUAAGGUCAGUUACUGUAUAUGAUUCAGUUUCAUGACUCAUGAGGAGAUGGGGACAAACAUUUAUGUGGGUUUCGUUUUUUCAGUUUGCUUUAUUAUUGUGUUUUAUUGCGUAAUAUUUAGUACUAAGCACUUACAUUUACUUUUCUGGAACUGAUAUGUUCCGCAAACUCCAUCUAAAAUAAAUAUUUUCUGUAUUUUAUCCUCUGUUUUAGCUAGUUUCCUAAAUGGACAAUAUAUGGAAGAUGCUUUUAUAUAUUUGUCAUGUUUAGUUUUAUUUUCAUGGACUUUUAGUUUGCAUCUCAUUGUUUCCUUGGUCGUCAUGGUUUCUAAGUAUGUGCUCAUUUGUAACCAUAGUUACUGAUUAUGUUGCCCACCUGUGUCUUAUUUCUUUCUUUCAUGAUGUGUAUUUAUACUCCUCACACUCUGCAUUAUUGACUGUUAACAUUGUUGGCUCAAUAACAAAUUGUGUGUGAUGUUGUUUUGUGUAAAAUUAUCUACAAUGAAUAUAUGUAAGAAUAAACAUAUAAACGUAAUUAUAUUAUAAAAGGAUAAAUAUU